rnacentral:lncRNA from 1 species
UUUCGAUCAAAAUUUAAGCUGCCUUUUUCAGGUUUUCAACUCAAAACCCUUUUGGUCUCAAAACGCCCUUUGUGAGUUUUCGCCUUGGCCUCUCCUAUUUUUCUUUUUUUUUAAUUUUUUUAAUUUUUUGAUUUUUUUCUUAUUUUUUCUCAAGGCGCCCUUUGCGGGUUUUCACCUUGGCCUUUCCCCUUUCAGGUAAAAU